GCAGGCACCUACAAAACCACUUGUGAGUGCACCAACCCUCUGGCAAGCAGGACACUCGGCACCACACAGAUCUCCUCCCCAGAGGUCUCAUUUUUAAGAAGCUUUGCUGAAUUAUAGGUCGCUCCUUGCCAGGUCGAUUUCCAAAAAUAUUUGAAGGCAAUGGGAGAGUCUUGCAGUUUACAGUGGAAAAGUCUUGCAGUGUCAGCAGAAGGCACUGCUUGGCAACUUCUCUCGCCGAUCUUCCGCAAGGCUAAAUGAAGGGGAGUUUGACCGUUGUGUUUGGAACCUAUUGGCAGCCAGUAUAACUCCAUCAGUAAAGGAGUAACAUGGUCUCUCCGAGAUGACCCAGAGACCAACCUGGCUGCCACGUUCUGAAGCAACUGAAGUUUCCGGACUACAAAGGCAGCCCCACGUAGAGAGUAUUACAAAAGUCUAGUCUGGAGGUUACCAGCAGAUGUACCACAGU